rnacentral:rRNA from 1 species
UACGUAGGUGACCAGCGUUGUCCGGAUUUACUGGGCGUAAAGAGCGCGCAGGCGGUCGUUCAAGUCGAGUGUGAAAGCCCCCGGCUCAACUGGGGAGGGUCAUUCGAUACUGAUCGACUGGAAGGCAGGAGAGGGAAGCGGAAUUCCCGGUGUAGUGGUGAAAUGCGUAGAUAUCGGGAGGAACACCAGUGGCGAAGGCGG